UACGUAGGGUGCAAGCGUUGUCCGGAAUUAUUGGGCGUAAAGAGCUCGUAGGCGGUUUGUCGCGUCUGCUGUGAAAACUCGGGGCUUAACCCCGGGCCUGCAGUGGGUACGGGCAGACUAGAGUGCGGUAGGGGAGACUGGAAUUCCUGGUGUAGCGGUGAAAUGCGCAGAUAUCAGGAUGAACACCGGUGGCGAAGGCGGGUCUCUGGGCCGGUACUGACGCUAAGGAGCGAAAGCGUGGGGAGCGAACAGG
rnacentral:rRNA from 1 species